UUCUGCCCAAACAAAAACCCUAGCCACCACACCUAGCCUUUCCUCUUCUCCUCCUCCUCCUUCCCUUACGACCACGAAACCACCGACCAUGCCUCCGACAGCUUUUGUUGGACGUGCGACCCACACUACUGCCCCAGUCCCACCCAAUUUGGUUUUUUUGUCAAACUUGUGCACAGGACAAACAACCACCGCCGCGGGACUUCUGGCGAGGCUCGUGAAGUUGAUAAUUGUAUACUAAAGUAGUGGUGUUACCAUAUUCUCACCUCCAUGUCAUUGAUUUGUGGAGGGAAAAACUGCAAGGUGAAUAGGUCUUUCUUCAAGGUAAUGUGUAACUGAAAAAAUUUCAAUAUGAAUAGGUGGAAGGCAAGCUCGUGGAGUCUUCAAGGCAAUGUGUAACUGAAAAUGAAUUGGUGGAAAGCAAGCUCGUGGGGUUUUCAAGGAAAUGUGAAACUGAAAAUUUGAUAUUAAUUUUUCGUUUAACACAUUGUUCAUUUAUAGUUUAUCUCUCAGCUUCCUUUUUAGUCAGUAUCCAGUUUAUGCCUUCUAACACAUGUAGGCAAACACAUUUUGCCCAUCCAUAGAAACUGCCCGGUCAAUCAAUAAUUAUAUUAUUUAAUAUAUUUAA